GAUGCAAGCUCAGUUUCUCAGGCAGAAGAACAAAGGUGUUCAAUCUGAUACUGUGCCCAGUGUUAAAAGAGGAAUCCAGAGGAUCUGGUAAACUGAUUCAGGAGAAACAAAAGAGAUGCAACCUGAGCAGCCUCCAGAAAAAUUUUUCACCCUGGCAACACAAAUGAAUCAAGAUUCUUCUGUAAAGGCAUUGACUCCUAUAGGUGACACUAAGAGGCAAUAGUUCAACUUCAAGCCAAUUGGGAGAAGUUCUUCCUGCUAAUCGCUCAUCUCUUUCUUCCUUUAAGAGUCAAUCUUUAAUUUUGAAGCGUCCGAGUGAUCUUAUCGGCAAUGAGAAAAAAAUUUUGAUGCAUGGAAGGAAAAAUAUGCAACAUCAGGAUCAUGAAAUAACUGAUAUGACUGGUUAUUCUAUACUAAAUGAAAAACCAAGCAAAGAAAAACUUAUAGCACCUUGUUCUGCUAGGAAGCGUAAAUUAUUAAACAUAGAAAAUGCUGCGAUGCAACAAAUUGAAGUUUCUCACUAUCAGUCAUUUGGUGCAAAGAAGUUUGAAACA